GUGAAUCAUCGAAUUUUUGAACGCAAAUUGCACUCUCCUCGGAGAGUAUGCCUGUUUGAGGGUCAGCCUAUAAAAAAUCGACAUCGUUGCUGUUUCGCGGUGGUGUUCGUCGGAAAUUGGGUCAUCUUAAAUCCUUUUGAUUUAAGAGACAUAAAAAAUUCUUUUGGUUCUAUGAAGGACGCUAAGAAGUAUUACUUUACAAGACUAAGGAAUCGA
rnacentral:misc_RNA from 1 species